rnacentral:rRNA from 1 species
CUGCCUACGGGGCGCAGCAGUAGGGAAUCUUCCACAAUGGACGCAUGUCUGAUGGAGCAACGCCGCGUGAGUGAAGAAGGUUUUCGGAUCGUAAAGCUCUGUUGUUGGUGAAGAAGGAUAUAGGUAGUAACUGGCCUAUAUUUGACGGUAAUCAACCAGAAAGUCACGGCUAACUACGUGCCAGCAGCCGCGGUAAUACGUAGGUGGCAAGCGUUGUCCGGAUUUAUUGGGCGUAAAGAGAGCGCAGGCGGAGAAAUAAGUCUGAUGUGAAAGCCCACGGAGCAGCGGUGGAACGGCAACGGAAA